UUUUUCUGAUAUGAAAAUCUUUUUUUGAUAUAGUCGUAUUUCUCUGAAAGAGCUAAAGGAAGAAUACAAAGUUACUUUAAAUUCCUGGUCAAAGAUGAGGGAGACUAACUAGCUAGGUGCAUUUAUAAGAUGCAGAUAUUCCCAGAACUCUAACUUAAAAAUAUUUCUUCUGUGUCACAGUGUACUUCUUGGACUGUAAGGAUGGACCGCAGUAGAAGGAAUUUGAAUUAGAUGCAUCCGUGUUUGGGCUUCCUGUGCUACUCUGCAAAGCUAUUUUGAAGUAAAGAUCUUUUGAGUCUGUA